AUUGAACGCUGGCGGCAGGCCUAACACAUGCAAGUCGAACGAGUGGCGGACGGGUGAGUAAUGUCUGGGAAACUGCCUGAUGGAGGGGGAUAACUACUGGAAACGGUAGCUAAUACCGCAUACCAUCGGAUGUGCCCAGAUGGGGUUAGCUAGUAGGUGGGGUAACGGCUCACCUAGGCGAAGAUCCCUAGCUGGUCUGAGAGGAUGACCAGCCACACUGGAACUGAGACACGGUCAAGAGGCCUACGGGAGGAAGGAGUGGGGAAUAUUGCACAAUGGGAGCAAGCCUGAUGGAGCCAUGCCGCGUGUAUGAAGAAGGCAUGCGGGUUGUAAAGUACUUUCAGCUGGGAGGCGUUACCCGCAGAAGAAGCACCGGCUAACUCCGUGCCAGCCGCCGCGGUAAUUC
rnacentral:rRNA from 1 species